GCGCGCGGAUGUGACGUUACGACCACCGCCCCUUCCGGGAGCUAGCGCGCGCGGCCUCCGGGGCGUAGGUCAGAGGUUCCUCUCCGCCAGGACUAAUAUCUGCUGAGAGCCUUCCAGGUGCUCAGCCAAGUGCUGUGACGAAACGAAGGUGAAAUAAGUCCAGAUUCCUGAAUUGAGACUCUAAUGUUCCCAACUUUGGUGAGGUGCCCAAGCCUGGUGCUGUGUUAGAGGACAAAAUCCCACGUUCCACUGAACGUUCAGGAGGAACGAGAGAGGGAACUAGGCGGCAGGACUAUGCGUGAGCAGGACAGGACAGCACGUUGAAUGAUGUCUGCUCCAAUGAGAAGCAGGUAGGGGAAGAGGUAAGGAUUAUAAAUAAGUUGACUGGAGAAAACUCCCUUAAUUACACUAAUGAGGAAGAUUCUUAAGGUCGACCCAGACUUGAUAGGAAAUGGUUCUCAGUAGGAAAGACAUUCCCCAGUGUCUGCAUGGACAUGGACAUUCAUUGUUAUUAUUUCUGUUGACAAGUAGCUCGUCUGUCCCAUUGUUCUUUGGGAAUCUUAACACUGACAUUUCCUAUUUGGCACAGGUCACUUGUUAAUCACGUUUCAUUACACCCAGAAAUCAUUUCUUGAAAGCAACUAAUUAUUUCCCUUAGGCAAUUUCUACUCUGCCUUUUUGAGCAAACAUAUGCAUACUUGUAAGUGUAUGGUUCCUGGGUGACUCAGUCGGUUAAGCAUCCAACUCUUGGUUUCAGCUCAAGUCAUGAUCUUAAGACCUGUGUCAAGCUCCACGUGAGCCUGCUUGGGGACUCUCUGUCUUAGCCCCUCCCGACUCAUGCUUGCUCUUUCUCAAAAUAAAUAAACUUUAAAAAUAUUCAAAUAAAAGAGUUAAGUGUUUCCUUGACUCUCAAGAAUAAAGAGAUAUAUGAUUGGCGGAGAUGACGUCCUUCUUUGGGAAAGAAAUCAGCCGAAAAUAUGUCUGUGCAUCCAGAAGGCUGCUUGGGAGAAGUUUGGGUCUGCAAGAGCAAGGAGACUAGACAGAGUUACCCAGUUGGGGGCUCUUACUAAGAAAAUCCCACCCUGCGGGCGCCUGGGUGGCUCAGUCAGUUAAGUGUUCAACUUCGGCACAGGUCAUGAUCUUGCGGUUCGUGGUUUCAAGCCCUGUGUUGGGUUCUGUUCUGACUACUAACCGCUCAGAGCCUGGAGCCUGCCUUGGAUUCUGUGUCUCCCUCUCUCUCUGCCCCUCUCCCACUCGCACUCUGUCUCUUACUCUCUCUCAAAAAUAAAUAAACGUUAGAAAAUCCCACCCUAUUUGCAAGAGAAGUUGGCAGGCCAACUAUUCCAACAGGUUUUCUAAACUCCUUGGUACUUACAGUUUGUUAAUAAUGUCCUAGGACAGGCAGCCACAGCUUUCUUCCCUUGUCUCUUUCUCAGUUUAUUUAGAGUCGGAUUUUUGCCUCUGGCUUGUCACCUCUUUGGCCAUGGUUGGUACCCUAUCGUGCAGAUGUCAGGGGCACUAAUCAGCUCCUGUGCUAUUUGGAAUAAAGGCUGGUGCAGGCAGGAAUUCAGCUUCACGUUUAGCAAAGGCCAUAGUGAUGGAACCCUCAAAGUGGUACUCUUGGAGGGUCACAGUUUGCCUCUGGCAUGACUGGCUGGGAACAAGUUUGGUGGUGUCCCCUAGUUUCCCCAUAUCGUUAUGAUAAGGAGAAGAGGAAUCCCAGCAACCAAGCAAAAGAGUGUUGAAAUAGAGACUUCUUUUUUUUUCUUCCCACUCUUUCCCCUCCAGAGAGCAGGGUGAGAACAAAAUGAUUCCCAUCUCCAAUACUUGUAAACCAAGACAGCCGGCAGGAGGGGUUUUUUUGUCCCAUAGGCAGCCACAGGGUUUGGUCAAAAUGGGCUGUGUUCUUCACAGGCCUGUGCCAUUCUUUCACAGUGGCACCUUCCCCUCAUUCCACCAGAGAAUUCCAGAGUGUGUGUCUUCACUCUGCAAGACAAAGAGCCAUUCUUGACACAUACCAGCUACCAGCUAGGCAAGUGUGAUGUCUAUUCAUUCAACAGAUACUAAGCACUUGCCAUGUCAUGUGUUAGGCAGUACUCUAGGCACUGGUAAUUUGCAGGUGGAUCCUGCCCUCAGGGAGCUUACCUUCAAGAGAGGAAGGAGACUGUAGAUGCACGUACACUGCAUAGUGGGUGAGAGGGCAGGGAGUGGGGGCUACUGUUUGUGUGGGGUGGUAGAUGGAAGCAGUUGACACUAAACUGUGAAUAAAGUCCACUAACUGAAUGUGAGUGGGAAGAUCGGGGUCUUGGUGUUUGGGUAUUAUUUGCAUUGUUUAUCAGGGUGUGGCUGCAGACAUAGGCUGUGAACACGUUUGCUUUCAUUCCCAUAAGUGUCACCAAGCUCCUAAAGUCCUUGCAGGGAAGUGAGCCCUGAACACAGGGCAUUUACAAAUUCACUGAGAAAAAGGAUUCCUGAACUUAUCCACUGAUUUUAAGUAGUUACACUUUCUCAAGGGCAUUUUCUUGUUCUACUCUUU